ensembl:lncRNA
GUCACAGUGACCAUCUCUUCGCUGCUUAUCUUCACGGCAGUCGUCAUAACCGCCAAACUAUGGAUCCCCGUCGUAAACCUCUGAGGUGACUGUUCUUCCCCCCCCCAUUUGAUAAACACUUCUGUGGAGCCUGCGGAGAGCUAUCAACAAGACCAGAGGUUGUGCCCGUGGCGCCAUUUUGUUCUUCCUUGAGACUGUGAAAUGAAAUCAGGGAUUCCAGGUGCCCAAUUGUUGCGAAGCAUCCCGGCUUUUCCCUGAGGUGUUAAAGAAAAAAAAAAAAAGAGACAAGCUCAUCUUCCUGCUCCUCGCUUUCUUCCUUCCACUCCCCGGCUCGCCCUGGCUCUCCGGCGCUGGGUGUGAAUCUCUCUCGUCCCCCCCCCUUGGUUUUAAUGCCUCUGUAGCAGGAUCACUGGCUCCUAGCCGCUACUGCCGCGAGCUGCACCUGACCAACCAACUGCUUCAAACCGCCGUGGCUAAUUCAAAAACAAGCCUGUCGUCUCCCACCCUCCAAGGCGACACCUUGCCCCAGCUUCCACGUUUGCGGGGGAUACAAUUGCACAUCUGUCGUCUCUGCCCCGCAAAAAACAAAAAUAAAGACGCUAGAGCCGUUGAAUCCAGCAAAUCCCAGCUUUCUUUUUGGAUGAAGCCGCACAUUACAAACGCGCAGUAGUGAUGGAUAUUGUCGGUUGGUAAACGGUUAAUGAAAGCCAUUCUCUGGCAUUCUCCUAAGACUGAAGAGGGAGGGGGAAUGGUUUAUCACAAAGCUGUAGCCGGCAGGCAACGUGUUUACCAUGUCACGCUCCAGAAACCGCUGUUCAUUCCUGCUUUGGGCGCCGCGAAAAAAAUUCAAAUACCACGGCUUUCCCCCCCUCCACAACCACGUUGGCAAAGAGAAGGCCGUUUUGUCUCGCAGGUUAUUUUUUUCCCCUUCAUGAUUUGUUCUCUUAAUUAUCUGGAUGAUGUAGUGUCAUGUUUUUGUUGGGCCUUCGCGGGCAUCCUGGUCUCUGCUGGACCCACGAGGACGGGUUCUUCAACACAGUAUUUCUUCCAGAGGUGGUGGGGUUAUCAGACGAUACACACACACAUACACACACAGAAAGGGCAUUGCUGUUACAAUCAAUAUUUUAAAGCUGGUACAAGUCUGGUUUAUAUGGUGUUGCCGUGAAAAGUAUAUAAAUGUCAUUACGUAGAGAAUCGAACUAUAAAUAAAGAUGAGUCAAACGUGUCGCCGAGUAUUGCAAACUGAUGUUAAACAUUUUAGCUAUCUCAGUUCACUGAACUGUUCAAAUAAUGACAUCAUGGUGAUUGCCAUCAUCAUCAGUACCAAUCAUCCAAUGGCUGCCGAUCUGGGUGAGAUGAUCGAUGACAGAUUUGCAGUGCACAUGAAGGAACGCCACUUCCAGCCCUGUAGGCCUACAAGGGUUUUGCAUGUGUACGGUAAAACAACAACUAUAUAUCAACAUUGCAUUUGCAUAGAGUAAACGUAUGAAUACAUGUAUGUUUUUAUAUAUCAGUGAGUACUAUCUUCCGGAAUACUUCAACAACCAAAUUAGUUUGGUUCUUAUUUUUUUCGAAGCAGCUCUGAGGAAAUACCUCUCACUCCACCUCUCUCGACAAUUUUUUAACAAAACCUCUAACACAAACACAUAGUGCUGGUCAUCACGUUGCGAGUCUUUCAGUAAACCAGUGUCUUGUGGUUUUUAGUAGCAUUCCUG